rnacentral:misc_RNA from 1 species
GAUGAAGAACGUAGCGAAAUGCGAUAAGUAAUGUGAAUUGCAGAAUUCAGUGAAUCAUCGAAUCUUUGAACGCACAUUGCGCCCAUUAGUAUUCUAGUGGGCAUGCCUGUUCGAGCGUCAUUUCAACCCUUAAGCCUAGCUUAGUAUUGGGAAUCGACUUUACUGUCGUUCCUUAAAUUCAACGGCGGAUUUAUAGCAAUCUCUGAACGUAGUAAUUUUUUUUCUCGUUUUUGAAAUACUAUAAACCUCAGCCGCUAAACCCCCAAUUUCUUAUGGUUGACCUCGGAUCAGGUAGGAAUACCCGCUGAACUUAAGCAUAUCAAUAAGCGGAGGA